GAUGAAGAACGUAGCGAAAUGCGAUACUUGGUGUGAAUUGCAGAAUCCCGUGAACCAUCGAGUCUUUGAACGCAAGUUGCGCCCGAAGCCAUCAGGUUGAGGGCACGUCUGCCUGGGCGUCACAUAUCGUUGCCCAAUGCCUAUUGCAGUGCAAUAGGAAUUUCUAGGGCGAAUGAUGGCUUCCCGUGAGCGUUGUUGCCUCGCGGUUGGUUGAAAAUCGAGUCCUUGGUAGGGUGUGCCAUGGUAGAUGGUGGUCGAGUUAGAACGAUACCGAUCAUGUGCAUGCUCCCCAAAAUAUGGCCUCUAUGACCCACACGCGUCUUUUGACGCUCAUGACGAGACCUCAGGUCAGGCGGGGCUACCCGCUGAAUUUAAGAAUAUCAAUAGCGGAGGA
rnacentral:misc_RNA from 1 species